CCCAGACUCCUACGGGAGGCAGCAGUGAGGAAUAUUGGUCAAUGGGCGGAAGCCUGAACCAGCCAAGUCGCGUGAGGGAUUAAGGCCCUAUGGGUCGUAAACCUCUUUUGUCAGGGAGCAAGGUCGUCCACGUGUGGGCGUAUGGAGAGUACCUGAAGAAAAAGCAUCGGCUAACUCCGUGCCAGCAGCCGCGGUAAUACGGAGGAUGCGAGCGUUAUCCGGAUUUAUUGGGUGUAAAGGGUGCGUAGACGGGAAAUUAAGUUAGUUGUGAAAUCCCUCGGCUUAACUGAGGAACUGCAACUAAAACUGAUUUUCUUGAGUACUGGAGAGGAAAGUGGAAUUCCUAGUGUAGCGGUGAAAUGCGUAGAUAUUAGGAGGGACACCAGUGGCGAAGGCGACUUUCUGGACAGUAACUGACGUUGAGGCACGAAAGUGUGGGGAGCAAACAGGAUUAGAUACCCGCGUA
rnacentral:rRNA from 1 species